AACUUAAAAAAAAAAAAAAAAAAAAAAAUGAAAAUAGUUAAUAACUUUAAAACACAAAAAUAGAACAAAAAAUUAAAAGAGUUUAUCUAAUUAUUUUAUACUACUUUUACCGUUAGCUCAAAAAAAAAAAAAAAAAAAAAAAAAAAAAAAAGUGGAUAAACAAAGCAUGUUGUAAUUUUUUUUUUUUUUUUUUUUUUACAAUUCCAUAGCUUAAAAUUUAAUUAAAAAUAAAGUAAAAUAAAAUCAAAAAUAAUAGUUAAGCGUAAUUUUGCAUAUUUAAAAUAUAAAAUUUGUGUAGAAUAUGCAACAAUCUUAUAAAUUCUGUUAAUUUAUAUAUCUACACACACUUGCAUAUACAUACAUACAUACAUACAUACGUACAUACAUACAUACCCUAGUAAACAUUUUCAAUUUUUAAAAAGUUAAUAUUAUUUUUAAUUCUAUAUUUUUUUUAAUUUUUUUUUUUUGUUGUUGUUGUUUUUUCUUAAUACAUACUAAAAGUAUCAUAUGAUACAUUUUUAUUUACAGCUAAGCUAACUUAAAAAAAAAAAAAAAAAAAAAUAUGCUAAACACCCAUUUAAGCAAACCCGAAGCUGACGUAGUGGUUUAUGAGUAUACAGAUGUCUCAAUGUGUGUGCGUUUAUCAGAAUAUAUAUAUCAAUUUGAACCAUGGUCUAAGGAUUCGAGAUAUAUUUUUUCGCAUAAGGAAAUGCAAAACGAAAUUAAUGAGCUAAAUGCAAUGAUUAAAUCGGAAAUUCCAUGGUUUUCGCCCAUUUUCACUUCAUCCUUCUCAUUUUUCUUUAUGGCUGCUGCCUUUUGGGGCUUAUUUACAUUUAUAUACAUUAUUGAAAAUAUAGACUUUGCAUUUAUUUGUUCUUGUUUCUUUUUAAUUUCAUUUAUGCACUUUCUUAUGUGCAUGAUAUACAGACAUUCAAUCUCAAAAAAUGUUGUUAACGUUGUUGAAUGCCGAAUUUCAGUUUUAAACACGAAAUAUAAAGAUAGGCAAGUUAGUUUUAAGCUUAUAAAUCUUACUAGUUUUAUGUCUAAACAUUUAAAAAUUUUACGUCUAUUUAAAAGAAAAUCAUAUUUUACUUUAAGAAUUAUAUACAAGUAUAGCCCAAUAAUUUAAAAAAAAUAAAAUAGCUAUUUAGAAGAUAUAUGUAUAUAUU
rnacentral:lncRNA from 1 species